GGUCAGAUGAGGUCUGCAAAUUAAUAUUCAGAAACUUAAUUUGCGACUAAAUUUGGACCAA
rnacentral:pre_miRNA from 1 species